CAGUUUAUAGCUUAAAUUAAAGCUUCUCCCUUACACCGAGAUGCUGUCCGUGAGAUCCAGACUAAACUGA
rnacentral:tRNA from 1 species